UGGGGAAUUUUCCGCAAUGGGCGAAAGCCUGACGGAGCAAUGCCGCGUGGAGGUGGAAGGCCUACGGGUCGCCAACUUCUUUUCUCGGAGAAGAAACAAUGACGGUAUCUGAGGAAUAAGCAUCGGCUAACUCUGUGCUAG
rnacentral:rRNA from 1 species